UACGUAGGUGACAAGCGUUGUCCGGAUUUACUGGGCGUAAAGAGCGCGCAGGCGGUCGUUCAAGUCGAGUGUGAAAGCCCCCGGCUCAACUGGGGAGGGUCAUUCGAUACUGAUCGACUCGAAGGCAGGAGAGGGUAGUGGAAUUCCCGGUGUAGUGGUGAAAUGCGUAGAUAUCGGGAGGAACACCAGUGGCGAAGGCGACUACCUGGCCUGUUCUUGACGCUGAGGCGCGAAAGCUAGGGGAGCAAACGG
rnacentral:rRNA from 1 species